rfam:Hordeum vulgare subsp. vulgare, WGS project CAJW01000000 data, contig: morex_contig_1497804
GGAGAGAUGGCUGAGUGGUUGAUAGCUCCGGUCUUGAAAACCGGUAUAGUUCUAGGAACUA